UGCCCGAGCGCAUAUUCAAACCCACUUGAUUCAAACCCACUUGGUUCAACAUUUUCAAAGGUGUGUUAUGGUUGAAAGAAAUCAAGGCAAUCAAGACUGUCUUUCCACAUGCAUCUGUGUUGCUUUGCUGGUUUCAUGUACUUCAGGCAAUCCACCGUUGGGUUGUUAAACAAGAUGGAGGCCAUGUCCAAGAUCCAGCUGUGAGAAACAUCAUCGUUCAAGGAAUAUUUUCUCUAAAGCAAUGUCGCACAGAGAGAGUAUUCCAUGAAACUGCUAAGAGAGUCCUUGAACAAAUCAAGACAGCAACAGGGGCGACCAGAGUGUCAAAAUACCUCAGAGAGACCUGGCUGCAGUGUGGGGCUAUGUGGGCCAACUUUGGCCGAAUGUUUUUCCACCACCAAAGUGAGACCAACAAUGUUGUGGAGAGGUGAGGAAACUUCACUUUUGAAAAGUUAUAGAUUCAUGAGUGAAAUUAUUACUUAUGGAUAU